rnacentral:tRNA from 1 species
GCCUGAGUGGCUCAGUUGGUUGAGCAUCUGGCUUCGGCUCAGGUCAUGAUCUCACGGUUCAUGGGUUCAAGCCCUGAGUCAGGCU